UCUAAUACCGGAUACGACUCGGGAAGGCAUCUUCUCGGGUGGAAAGCUCCGGCGGUGAAGGAUGAGCCCGCGGCCUAUCAGCUUGUUGGUAAGGUAAUGGCUCACCAAGGCGACGACGGG
rnacentral:rRNA from 1 species